CGAGUUCAAUAUGUCAAAAUGACUCUCGGCAACGGAUAUCUCGGCUCUUGCAUCGAUGAAGAACGUAGCAAAAUGCGAUACGUGGUGUGAAUUGCAGAAUUCCGUGAACCAUCGAGUUUUUGAACGCAAGUUGCGCCCAAUGUCAUUUGGCUGA
rnacentral:rRNA from 2 species